rnacentral:rRNA from 1 species
AAUAGCUCACUAGUCGAGUGACACUGCGCCGAAAAUGUACCGGGGCUAAACAUAUUACCGAAGCUGUGGAUUGUCCUUUGGACAAUGGUAGGAGAGCGUUCUAAGGGCGUUGAAGCAUGAUCGUAAGGACAUGUGGAGCGCUUAGAAGUGAGAAUGCCGGUGUGAGUAGCGAAAGACGGGUGAGAAUCCCGUCCACCGAUUGACUAAGGUUUCCAGAGGAAGGCUCGUCCGCUCUGGGUUAGUCGGGUCCUAAGCUGAGGCCGACAGGCGUAGGCGAUGGAUAACAGGUUGAUAUUCCUGUACCACCUAUAAUCG